rnacentral:rRNA from 1 species
GACGGAGGGUGCUAGCGUUGUUCGGAAUCACUGGGCGUAAAGGGCGCGUAGGCGGCCUUUUCAGUCGGGCGUGAAAGCCCGGGGCUCAACCCCGGAACGGCGCCCGAGACGGGAAGGCUGGAGACCGGGAGAGGAGGGUGGAAUAGCCAGUGUAGAGGUGAAAUUCGUAGAUAUUGGCUGGAACACCGGUGGCGAAAGCGGCUUACUGGAUCUCUUCUGACGCUGAGGCACGAAAGCUAGGGUAGCGAACGGG